UACGUAGGGUGCAAGCGUUAAUCGGAAUUACUGGGCGUAAAGCGUGCGCAGGCGGUUGUGCAAGACAGAUGUGAAAUCCCUGGGCUUAACCUGGGAAUGGCAUUUGGGACUGCAAGGCUCGAGUGCGGCAGAGGAGACUGGAAUUCCUGGUGUAGCAGUGAAAUGCGUAGAUAUCAGGAGGAACACCGAUGGCGAAGGCAGGUCUCUGGGCUGACACUGACGCUCAUGCACGAAAGCGUGGGGAGCAAACAGG
rnacentral:rRNA from 1 species